rnacentral:lncRNA from 1 species
CAUCUUUUCUCAGGAGUUCCCACCGAAGACUAGAGGGAGAGAAAAGUUUGGUUAUUUUGGGAAUAACUUCCCACACAUAAAAAAAAAUAACAAUGAAGUGUUGAGAGAGGAAGAAGGAAGGAGGGAGGAAAAAGGAAGCCGAUCGUGAGCCAAAUGGAAGCCCGCUGCUGUGCCACUGCUGCCGUCUACCACUCCAUGGAAGGCUGAUCUUCUCUCUAGGGCCGGAUGUAGCCCUAGCAAAGGGCCAAGGGUUUUAUAUUUUGAUUUCUAUUCUUGGAGUUGUAUAAACCUUAUUUUGCUUCUAAUGAAUAUUUUAUUUCAUCUCAUAUUUAAUUUCUGUGAUUUUAAAUAUGACGUUUAUACAAUUGUUCUUCAUGAUCACUAGGUAAAUAUAAGAUAGUCCAUGCUUAAGGAAGAUGCGAUGUGCUGCCACCUUAGAUUAGGGUAGACAUUUCAUACUAACUAAAGAUGGAUUAUGCCUAAAUUACUUUUGUAAAUUUCUAUUUAAAUGCUUAUUAGGCUUGUAGCCAAUUUGCAUGUUUAUCCAAGAAUAAAUUAAAAUAUAAUUAAUCCUUGUUCCGAUGUUAGUGGUGAAUUUCUUGCCCUAGGUUCCCCCAAACUGAUAUCCUUUUAAUUGCAUUUUCUUAAAUUCCUUAGUUUAA